CCUACGGGAGGCAGCAGUGGGGAAUAUUGGGCAAUGGGCGCAAGCCUGACCCAGCAACGCCGCGUGAAGGAAGAAGGCUUUCGGGUUGUAAACUUCUUUUAUCAGGGACGAAGCAAGUGACGGUACCUGAUGAAUAAGCCACGGCUAACUACGGACCAGCCGCCGCGGUAAUAAGUAGGUGGCAAGCGUUAUGCGGAUAUACUGGGUGGAAAGGCCGUGUAGGGGGGUGUGCAAGUCAGAAGUGAAAACUAUGGGAUUAACCCAUCGCCUGCAUUUGAUACUGUACUUCUUGAGUGCUGUAGAGGCAAGCGGAAUUCCGGGUGUAGCGGUGAAAUGCGUAGAUAUACGGAGGAACACCAGUGGCGAAGGCGGAUUACUGGGCAGUAACUGACGCUGAGGCGCGAAAGCGUGGGGAGCAAACAGGAUUAGAUACCCCAGUAGUC
rnacentral:rRNA from 1 species